GAGAGGCCAUUGUCGGGAUUGAUUAACAUCCACGUAUGAAGCACCUUCACAUGGACCCUCCAUGCAGAUUUGAAAGGCUUAAGAUCACUCAAGUUGCUGAUUUUGAUCAUGGAAUCCAUAAGGGAAGAUAACGAUAGACAGUUUGCAGGUUUAUUAAUGGUUGUUGCGGUGUGAUGAUUGUGAUAUUUAUAUAUUUGUGAUUGAUGGUAAAUUCUUAAGAUAGCGAUCCAUAUAAAAUCGUAUAUAAAUAGGAAUAAUUUAGGGAUAUACGUAUUCGAGAUAUACUAAGUUACAAAUCUUAUCCUUAUUAUUGUUUUCAAUGAUUAAAGUUGUUCAAAUUAGAUAAGAUAUGACAAUAUGCGAUUUUAGGCGAGUGUGUGCUUUUGAUUUGUUUAAUAAUAUAUUGUUAAAACCUGCAAAAAACGAUUUGCAAGUAGGAUAUGCCGAAUAUGUAUGAGAAGUUGUUUCGACACAUUUGUGAAAACAAAAAUAUUCAAACAAUUGUAGUCUGGUUAAACUAUGAACAUGUCAUUUUGCCGUUGGAAACUGAUGAUUGAUGUGAAACGAUUAUUUUAUAUGUGUAUACGUUGAUUAAACUAUAAGAAAAGAGGGUUUACUGCACUUUAUAGCAGAUAAUACAUGUUGUUUAAGUUUUGACAUCGAACACAGCAAUGCCACGAUAAAAUCUAUAAAUUUAAAAUAUUACUCAGGGCAAUUAUAUGGAUAAGAACUGAAUCUAAACUAAACAGCGUGAUUCUUUUUUAAAAAAUACGUUUUCGUUAAAAAAAUAAACCUUUAUAUUAAAAGCAUAGAUCAAAAAUAAUUCAGUGGCAAAGAAUGGUAAAUACUUCAAACUCCAAGGGUACCUCAAAAAAGGCUCCAUUUCUGGCGCUUUUCCUGGAUCAUAACAUUGUCAUGUUUAGGCUGAUACAUAUCAAGAGAGUUACCAUCAACAUGAAACCUAAAUACAAAAACAGCAUAAUUAGCAUAUUGUAAUCCAUUAGAAAUAAUAUAAUAUUAUAAUAAGAUGCACUUGCAUAUUUUUAAGUGCUUGCGCCUCCUUGAUAUCUGGGUUUAGUAACACCAAAGAAGAAUCAAAAGCAUUGGAGACUUGCAACUCUCCUGAUACAGAAAUCAAACAGAUGUUUAAAAUCUAACUUAAAAGUUUUUGAUCAUUAAACAAAUAUUUACAUAUUAAUGGUACAAUACCCUUGUAGUUUUCGAGUUUAGCAUAUCUGAUUAAACAAAUAUCUCCAUUGUUUGGUUGUUUAUUUUCUUGGGUCAUUAUUUCAGCUAUUUUCCCAGCAAUGCAGCAUUGAAGUCGGUUGUCGCUUAGAGAGUAAAUAAAUAAUGCAGAUUAGAAUUAAAAACUUACUUCAAGUUAUGUUUAAAAAAUACUUACUUGAUGUCUCUUAGAGUAAACUCCAUUUUGGUCACUUCUUUUCUUGCACACUGAACAAUAUCAAGACCACCAAAGUCUAAGACUUCACCAAUCACAUCUGUAACAUCAAAAGUUAGUUAUAUGAAGGUCGGAUUAUAGGUAAUAAACUAAUACAUCGCAUAAAAAUUAGAAGUUACCAAUAAAAAAACUUGUGUCAUGUGAACCAUUUUUAAUGUUAUCAAAUUGCUUUAGCUCGAGAAACAUGUUGUCACAGUGGAGAUUAGAAUCAGUUAUUAAAGUCUGACUCAUGAAUUCAAUCUUGUAAACAUGGUUGGUGUGUCUGUAAAGACCACAUACUGGACUUAAAGAAAAGUUAGUAAUAACUUUCCACUCUCCAACACGACAAUGUCUCUGGAAUAGCUGAAAUAAUGAUUGUUUGCAACUGGCCUGGAUUUUGACACCCUAAACCAUUAAAAAAAAUAACUGAAGUUCAUAUAUCAAGCGUAAUUAUAAUAGAAGAUAGGUAGUGAAUAUUACAUUUUCGUCUGUUAAGACCAUCUCAAGAUUCGAGAGGCCAUUGUCGGGAUUGAUUAACAUCCACGUAUGAAGCACCUUCACAUGGACCCUCCAUGCAGAUUUGAAAGGCUUAAGAUCACUCAAGUUGCUGAUUUUGAUCAUGGAAUCCAUAAGGGAAGAUAACGAUAGACAGUUUGCAGGUUUAUUAAUGGUUGUUGCGGUGUGAUGAUUGUGAUAUUUAUAUAUUUGUGAUUGAUGGUAAAUUCUUAAGAUAGCGAUCCAUAUAAAAUCGUAUAUAAAUAGGAAUAAUUUAGGGAUAUACGUAUUCGAGAUAUACUAAGUUACA
rnacentral:lncRNA from 1 species